rnacentral:tRNA from 2 species
UCCGCUGGCCUUAGGAGCCACCAUCCU